AUUCCAGCUCCAAUAGCGUAUAUUAAAGUUGUUGCAGUAAAAAAGCUCGUAGUUGGAUUUCUGGGUUAGGAACUUGGUCGGCUGCAGCUAUGCAGUUAGUACCAGGUUUCCUUGCCCAUCCUUCUAGAAAUUGGCUCUGUGCUUCAUUGCAUUCGGGUCAGGAUCUAGAUCUUUUACUUUGAAAAAAUUAGAGUGUUUAAAGCAGGCUUUGCUGUGAAUACAUUAGCAUGGAAUAAUAACUUAGGACUUUGGUUCUAUUUUGUUGGUUUCUAGGGCCGAAGUAAUGAUUGAUAGGGAUAGUUGGGGGUGCUAGCAUUCAGCGGCCAGAGGUGAAAUUCACGGAUUCGCUGAAGACUAACUUAUGCGAAAGCAUUCACCAAGGAUGUCUUCAUUG
rnacentral:rRNA from 1 species